rnacentral:rRNA from 1 species
CCUACGGGAGGCAGCAGUAGGGAAUAUUGCUCAAUGGGGGAAACCCUGAAGCAGCAACGCCGCGUGGAGGAUGACGGUUUUAGGAUUGUAAACUCCUUUUGUUAGAGAAGAUUAUGACGGUAUCUAACGAAUAAGCACCGGCUAACUUCGUGCCAGCAGCCGCGGUAAUACGCAGGGUGCAAGCGUUACUCGGAAUCACUGGGCGUAAAGAGUGCGUAGGCGGGGUAAUAAGUCAGAUGUGAAAUCCUGUAGCUUAACUACAGAACUGCAUUUGAAACUGUUACUCUGGAGUGUGGGAGAGGUAGGGGGAAUUCGUGGUGUAGGGGUAAAAUGCGUAGAGAUCAAGAGGAAUACUGAUUGCGAAGGCGACCUGCUGGAACAUUACUGACGCUGAUGCACGAAAGCGUGGGGAGCAAACAGGAUUAGAUACCCGUGUAGUC